AGGGGUGCAGCUCAGUGGUAGAGCUCUUGCCUAGCUAGGGCAAGGACCUGGGUUCCAUCCCCAGCACCAUAA
rnacentral:tRNA from 1 species